rnacentral:lncRNA from 1 species
CCUCAGUAGGAGAAAGGCUCAUCCCAGCAAGAGCCACCUGAGACCCCCUGGUUCUGAGAGGGCAAGGCCGCUUUGUGUGCCGCUUCCUUUUCCAGGCCAGGCAGGAGAGCAAGCAGGGCUCUUUGGAAUCGGGAGCUGAUCGAAAAUGAGGCGGCCAAUGGCCACAGGGUCUGUGGAGGCUCGGCUGGCUUCUACCAAGAACAGGUGCUGGAUUUUGCACUCUGUUAUCCCCUUUUCCCCUGAGGGGUGAAUGCCGUCUCACCGAAGUAGAUUUCUCAGCAUCCAUGAGAUUUUGCUGUGAUUACAAUCUCUUGGAAGAGAAGAAAAUGUACGGGAAUAAGAAGAAAUCGAACGAGAAACAUACUCAGACAGAUACAACUUUCUCCAAGGGAUUCCUUAAGCAGAGUUACCGAUCACGGAUACAAAUUCAUGUGAGAAUGUUUUAAAGGAGAGAAUGAAAAGGCAAAAAAAUAAAGAGCCCUCUCAAAUUGUACCAGAGACACAAUCGGAUUUAACAUUCAGUUUUAUGAAAGCUCCCUCAAUUAGACCUGCUAAGCAUCAACCUUGUGCUAUACCGGUGCCCCCAAACAAACAAUCCUUCCAGAAAUAAUAAAAUGGCA